GGCCCAGAUAUUAGUAUUUAAUUCUAAUAAUCAUAGUUUACUUCAAAGGAAUCUUAAAGACAAAGAGGUCAUAACAACCGUCAUACUAGUUUCCUCUUAAUUUAUACGUAGUAGUAUAGUAUUCCGGAGUGGCUUGUGGGAUUAGCGGCCGAAGAUUGUACCCUGUCAUGGAUUAAUGAAAGCUUUGAAUUGCUCAAAAAAAACAGAGAGUGCUUACUGUUGCACUUAUAUGUCAUAGUGCUUUAGUUAAAACAUAUAAAUUAUAAAGUGAAAGUUUACAUAAUUUAUAAUUUCAAAUAGUUUUAACACAUUAGUAUAUGAGUCGUUGCAGGAAUUUUGCACUAAAACAUAAAUGUAGAUAAUUCUCAUUCUCCAUGUAUAUAUAC
rnacentral:lncRNA from 1 species